UACGGAGGGAGCUAGCGUUGUUCGGAUAUACUGGGCGUAAAGCGCACGUAGGCGGCGCAGCAAGUCAGGGGUGAAAUCCCGGAGCUCAACCCCGGAACUGCCUUUAAGACUGCAUCGCUGGAAUCCGGGAGAGGUGAGUGGAAUUCCGAGUGUAGAGGUGAAAUUCGUAGAUAUUCGGAAGAACACCAGUGGCGAAGGCGGCUCACUGGACCGGUAUUGACGCUGAGGUGCGAAAGCGUGGGGAGCAAACAGG
rnacentral:rRNA from 1 species